rnacentral:rRNA from 1 species
UACGGAGGAGGCAAGCGUUAUCCGGAAUGAUUGGGCGUAAAGCGUUCGUAGGUGGCUAUUCAAGUCUGCUGUCAAAGACAGAAGCUCAACUUCUGAAAGGCAGUGGAAACUGAGUAGCUGGAGUGCGGUAGGGGCAGAGGGAAUUCCCGGUGUAGCGGUGAAAUGCGUAGAGAUCGGGAAGAACACCGGUGGCGAAAGCGCUCUGCUGGGCCGCAACUGACACUGAGGGACGAAAGCUAGGGGAGCGAAUGGG